UACGAAGGGGCUAGCGUUGCUCGGAAUCACUGGGCGUAAAGGGUGCGUAGGCGGGUUUUAAGUCAGGGUGAAAUCCUGGAGCUCAACUCCAGACUGCCUUUGAUACUGAAGAUCUUGAGUCCGGGAGAGGUGAGUGGAACUGCGAGUGUAGAGGUGAAAUUCGUAGAUAUUCGCAAGAACACCAGUGGCGAAGGCGGCUCACUGGCCCGGUACUGACGCUGAGGCACGAAAGCGUGGGGAGCAAACAGG
rnacentral:rRNA from 1 species